rnacentral:misc_RNA from 1 species
UGAUUUCUCAACCUCAUUUAAAUGAGGCUUUGGAUGUUUGGGAAUUGCUGAAAUGAUUCUUUAUUGAAUUCAGCUGUCCUUAAAUAAAUUAGCAGACUUAUAAUGAUUUAUUACAUUUGGUAUGAUAUUUAUCUGUACUAUUUUGAAUUCUGUCAUUGUCUGCUUAUCGACGAUACACAACAACUUGAUUUUUU